AAGAGUUGUUAUUAUAAUAGGAAAAGUGCCUAUCCAUUCUUGUUGUCGGCGGAGGUGGAACGACGAACCCUAGCCGCUGUGAAAGGCCCAGAUCGAUCCGCAAGUCGACGAUGGCGUUGGUUCGAUGCGCCGCGAGGAGGCUGGGUGGCUCCGUGCUCCACCGAACGCAGGCGGCGGCCGCGGAGGCGGGACGCCGGCUCGUGCCAAGCAGGUUCAUGCGCUCCCGCCAGCUCUCCGGCGAUGUCUCGAUCGAGGCGCUUGAUGUCCUACGGGCGUACAGUUCAGGGUGUGGUCAAUGCAGCUAAAGGGUUAUUCUUUUUGUGUAUGAUUUCUGCUGCUGUCCUCGGUCUCGGUUCAGACAAGGGGGUAGAAGCCACAGCUAGUACCAGCGAAAGCAGUGAAGACAAGAUCGAAAAUUGAGAAACAAAGAUGGCCCGAGCUUGUUUUCAGUUCAAUUAUGACAUCUACAGUUUGGCUAGCUAGCAGUAUGCGGAAAAAAAAUUCUAUGAGACCAAGUCUCUGUCUCACGGACCAUCAUGUGAGACCCGUCCCAAUGGAUGACACGUGACAUUCACAAUCUCAAAGCACCAACUCCCACUUUGGCCCGUACAAAAGUACACAGCGAUUUAGGGUUUGCUUGGUCUCGCUCUCCUUCGUGACAGCUGAGCCAAAGGACCUUAUCGCCGGCGGCCGCUCGGAACGACGGAUUGAUGACAUCUCGUCCAUGCCUGCCACGAAUGAUCUCGGCACCGACAUCUGCGUGUGAUGACCCUGUGGCGACUUCUUGUCAGUGGCCGCGACGGAAGACCUCGCCGCCAGCGUUACUGGCUGGGCGGACUUUACGUUCACGGUGGUCACGCGCCAAGAUGCCGAUGCCGAUUGCUGGGCAUACUCCUUGUCGACGGCGGCUAUGCUGAAAGAUGACUCCUUGUUGACGGUGGUCACGCGUCAAUACGUCCUCGCUGGACCGGACUAACUCCUCGACACCAGCCGGGCACCAAGAUGCACACAUUAGCUCGUCAUCCACAUGUUCCUUUCCAGCGCUGCAAGUGCGCCGGAGAGCCGAUGUCUGAACUCACCCUUCUGACAUACAUAUAGUUGCUUCAUUGGCAAAACAAUUCGAGUGUAAACUGCCCUGGCUUCACCAAACUAGAAGAUUGGUGUACUUUUCUCUUUAAUCAGACGAGAGGGGGAGAGAGAGAUGUU